rnacentral:rRNA from 1 species
AACGAACGCUGGCGGCAUGCCUAACACAUGCAAGUCGAACGAGAUCUUCGGGUCUAGUGGCGCACGGGUGCGUAACGCGUGGGAAUCUGCCCUUUGGCUCGGAAUAACAGUUGGAAACGACUGCUAAUACCGGAUGAUGACGAAAGUCCAAAGAUUUAUCGCCAGAGGAUGAGCCCGCGUAGGAUUAGCUAGUUGGUGUGGUAAAGGCGCACCAAGGCGACGAUCCUUAGCUGGUCUGAGAGGAUGAUCAGCCACACUGGGACUGAGACACGGCCCAGACUCCUACGGGAGGCAGCAGUGGGGAAUAUUGGAGAAUGGGCGAAAGCCUGAUCCAGCAAUGCCGCGUGAGUGAUGAAGGCCUUAGGGUUGUAAAGCUCUUUUACCCGGGAUGAUAAUGACAGUACCGGGAGAAUAAGCUCCGGCUAACUCCGUGCCAGCAGCCGCCGCGG